rnacentral:rRNA from 1 species
GAUUAACGCUGGCGGCGUGCCUAACACAUGCAAGUCGAACGAGGUAGCAAUACCUAGUGGCAGACGGGUGAGUAACGCGUGGUCAACCUACCGUUGAGUGGGGGAUAACUAGCCGAAAGGUUAGCUAAUACCGCAUACGUCUCCAAGCGGCAUCGCUUGGCGAUAAAAGGAGCAAUCCGCUCGAUGACGGGACCGCGUCCCAUUAGCUAGAUGGUGGGGUAACGGCCUACCAUGGCUCCGAUGGGUAGCUGGUUUGAGAGAGCGACCAGCCACACUGGGACUGAGAAACGGCCCAGACUCCUACGGGAGGCAGCAGUGAGGAAUUUUCCGCAAUGGGCGAAAGCCUGACGGAGCGACGCCGCGGUGU